rnacentral:tRNA from 1 species
GGAGGUGGAUGGGGACCGGUGUCUUCCCCGGCCUUCAAAGCCGCGUGCAACCGUCAAAAGCCGGUUGGGUGGGUUCGACUCCCACGCACCUCCGCCA